UCCCUGAAAUUUUGCCUUUCUGCUGACAGGUCUUUAGCCUAAUUCUUGCUUUCUCGGUGCUUAGUGCUAACCUUUUCCGGUAUUUGUCGGGUAAUCCAACCCUCGGGGCCCUUAUCGAAGCAAAUGCUUGUUACUCGUGGAAGUUGGUGCGGUUAUGCUUUCUUAAGAUUGUUUUUUGUGCUGUUCCAUUUAGAGCUGAUGAUGAAGAAAGCAUUCAUGUUAGUGCUGACGAAGGGACUGAGAGGGACAGCUCAGAAUUUUAAAGACUGAACCUCUCCGAAGGGCAAGGGCACUAAAAAUUUCGCCUCUUUCAGGUGAUAGCUUGCGUCUGGAGGAGGUCGGGUCAAUCAUUCAGGCCUGAUAGUUAAGAGGUCUACGUCUUGGUUACUGACCAUAAUCUUAGUGGACUCUAUCCGGGUUUGAGAGAAUGCUCAGCUGCAGGAUCUCAUCGAGGUAUAUAAUCAAAAGCUAAAGUCUCAUCUUUUGGAUCUAUGCAUAUAUGUGCGUAAGACACAUAAAAGGUUAUAUAGCUAGCAUGCAUAAAAGCAUAUAGGACUAAAGAUCGAUGGAUCAAAAUUGUAAGGGUCUUUCGAAACCCCCCAAUCUCUCUUUUCCGCGUCUUACCACCUUUCCCAUGGCUUGAUUUGAUCGUUUCACUUGUCACACUCUCUUUUCCGCGUCUUGCCACCUUUCCCACGGCUUGAUUUGAUCGUUUUACUUCUCAUGCUACGGAUUAUUCACCCGCCACCACACUCAAGUAGUGCUGGUCGCUUUCGGUUUUAGGAUGGGUCUCGGUAUAGUCUUCUUCACAGAUUCUCUCGUGUCUUCUUCUGUCUUUAAAACCAGACCUCUAUUUGAAUGAUGGGAAACACGACUCAUGGGUGCUGAAGGUGACUGCCGCACCGUGUCUGAGAUUAGCACGUCAUAAUUCGUGGGCGAUCCGGGGUUCGUGCUUUUUCUCUGGAAAUCAAGAUGAGUAUCAAUGCUAAAUGAAACGAGAAUAUUGACUUUUUGGGGUCUUCCAUUUCAUCGGUCGAUUGGCUUCUCGGAACUUCCCUUUUGUUCAUCUUGUUCUUUUCUUGGUCUUCCCUGCAAAAUAUCCGAGACAAAGCACCAAUUGGCUUUCAUAUUCUCUUCUUCUUUUCUCGUCUUCCAUUUAAAGUAAAAUCCAUGAACUAAGUCGUUUUCCGGGCUGCCCGUGAGAAGGACUAAGGGCGGUUCGAUCUCCUUCCCGAGUGCUUUUUGUAUAUCGAAGUAACUUUGAUUUGCCUGUUGAGUUAGAAAGAGAUCCACAAACAACAUUGGUACGUCCACCGUGACAUGGAAUACUGAUUGGAACACAGACAGAUAUGGGUCCUGUGGUCCUCUUAAGCAUACAUGCGAGGUGGAGACCAGUACUUGUUCUGCCGAACCGCAUGCUUCGAAUAGGCUUCACUUUCAGUGGGAUUGUUGUUGUAUUAUAUUAUGCCCUUCGUCUCUUUCUAUCCAGACUUUUUAGUCCUUUUUUAUCGUCUCAUGCGAAACCGUGAAUCGAAUCGAUUGGCGCUUUCACCUC